UACGUAGGGACCAAGCGUUGUUCGGAUUUACUGGGCGUAAAGGGCGCGUAGGCGGCAAUUCAAGUCAUCUGUGAAAUCUCCGGGCUUAACCCGGAACGGUCAGAUGAUACUGCUUUGCUAGAGUGCGGAAGGGGCAAUCGGAAUUCCUGGUGUAGCAGUGAAAUGCGUAGAUAUCAGGAGGAAUACCGAUGGCGAAGGCAGGUCUCUGGGCUGACACUGACGCUCAUGCACGAAAGCGUGGGGAGCGAACAGG
rnacentral:rRNA from 1 species